rnacentral:lncRNA from 1 species
AGCGACUGGAUUAGCGGGAAGAUUUAGAUCGGGAAUUGUUGGUUUCUUCGAAGAGCUGGCUCCGCUUCCACCUUCCCCGAAAGGCAGAGGCAAUCUCUCCAUGGCAGAAAGCAAAAAAUCCAGCCAGUCAAGAAAUGGAGCCAAGAAAGCGACGCACCAAGUCAAGUCCCAGUCCCAGAGCACGCGAGCAAUUAAAAGUACGGACAUACGGAUUACCAGGUGUCGAAGGAAUGGAUUCAUGAGUUGUUUAUUUUAUAGUCUCUAUAGAAUAAGCACUGUGAACUGUCUGUUUCAAAAAGAUAGUUGUCAGAAAUGAGUUCCUGACUUUCGUAAUUAUUGUUUUCUUUUUUUAAAUGAUUGCUAAAUUAAACAAAAAAGUAAAAAAGCGCCGACGCCAUUUUUCCGUGCAACUCACGUAUCAGACUUUCUUUUUGUUGAUAUUAAGGUGUCGAAGACCUAACAACACGGAGGCCCUAUUUAAUUAAGUAAGAUCUUCCAACCCUUUUCCAUAACGUUGGUCUACAGACGGUCGUCUUGUUUUGCACUGCUUUUGUUGGACAUCUGUUUAAUAAGUAGACUGUCUUUGAAAAAGGAAAUAAUGAUCCCAAUCAACGAUGAUUGCGGUCGACGUUUCGGCAAAGUUUGUUAUGGUGGAGAGAGAGAAAGNNN